GACAGAGGGUGCAAACGUUGUUCGGAGUUAUUGGGCGUAAAGCGCGCGCAGGCGGCUUCGCGCGCCCGCCGUGAAAGCCCCCGGCUUAACCGGGGAGAGUCGGUGGGGACGGCGGAGCUUGAGGGCGGGAGAGGUCGGUGGAAUUCCCGGUGUAGUGGUGAAAUGCGUAGAGAUCGGGAGGAACACCUGUGGCGAAGGCGGCCGACUGGGCCGACCCUGACGCUGAGGCGCGAAGGCGUGGGGAGCGAACGGG
rnacentral:rRNA from 1 species